CUGAGUGUGAAGUGGCAGCUGCCCUCAAGGAGCUUACAAUCUAGCUGGGGCUGAAUGACUUGCACGAGAACACAACUAGACUGUGAGCUUCUAGAGGGCAGAGGCCUUA
ensembl:miRNA